AAAUAAAAACACAUAAACAAACGAUAGGAAAUUGUAAUGAGUAGAACUCAUAAGUCAAAUGUAAUCAAUAAGAGUAUGAAUAUUGAAUUUUCUUUCAUUCCAUUGUUCUUCAAAAGUAUGUACGUCUUACAAUCUUCCCCCGGAUAGCUUCUUCUUGGGAUUCUGAAUGAGGUUCCUCCAUGAAUAGACAACGCCUCUGAAUGGCUCUCUCGUUCAGCAUAUCGCAGUUGCUGGAUUGCCCCGGGCUGAGUCCGUUAUGCCAAUGGAGGAGUGAUCUUUUCAAUUCAUCCCAGAUGCCAGCUUUUGACUUCUUCAUUGCUUUUAGUUAUGAAUUUGUACUAUUCUCACAAAAAAUACUAAGAAUGAAAAUGAAAGAAUGGAAGUAAUGGUUCUGAUAUUAAUGAUGAUUUUUAUUGGCUCAAGUUUCUCUGACUCAUUCAAAGCAUCAGGAAACUCUG
rnacentral:lncRNA from 1 species